rnacentral:rRNA from 1 species
CGCCUUGCCACGCCCGCUCAGAAACUCAAAGGAAUUGACGGGGGCCCGCACAAGCGGUGGAGUAUGUGGUUUAAUUCGAUGCAACGCGAAGAACCUUACCUGGUCUUGACAUCCCGGAGACCCUUAGGAAACUAGGGGGUGCUUCCAUCUGGAAGAAUCUGGAGACAGGUGCUGCAUGGCUGUCGUCAGCUCGUGUCGUGAGAUGUUGGGUUAAGUCCCGCAACGAGCGCAACCCUUGCCUUUAGUUGCCAGCAGUUCGGCUGGGCACUCUAAAGGGACUGCCGGUGUUAAACCGGAGGAAGGUGGGGAUGACGUCAAGUCCUCAUGGCCUUUAUGACCAGGGCUACACACGUACUACAAUGGCCGAUACAAAGGGCAGCGACACUGCGAGGUGAAGCCAAUCCCGUAAAAUCGGUCUCAGUCCGGAUUGGAGUCUGCAACUCGACUCCAUGAAGUUGGAAUCGCUAGUAAUCGUGGAUCAGCAUGCCACGGUGAAUACGUUCCCGGGCCUU